rnacentral:lncRNA from 1 species
UGGGGCCAAUGAAAGGAGCACCUACUGAGGUAACAGCCAAGCUGUGUUCACAUCCUAUUUCAAAGAGAAUUCAAGGGAAGGGGAGAGAGAAGAAAGGUGUGGGGAGUAGCAAAGGGAGCUGUUUGGAAAGGUAGAAAGAAGCAGGUUUAACACUGGGAAUGAGAGUAUCAAGAGGAUUUCAGGGAGACAGCACUGUUUUCAGGAACUAAUCACUCACUUAUUAACACCUUGAAAGUACACUUUUCCCUCAUGGUAAGUUAUACACUGAGAACUUCCUGUUAAGCCUCACCUUGAAGAGCCCUGGAGCAUCAUCUCUUCAGUGGAGAGAGCAAAAGACCUGGAUCCUAUGUAACUCAGUACGGGAGACUUCUCAUAGGUCUCAAAGUCAAAGCAUAUUGUCAACUUUUCUAAA